rnacentral:lncRNA from 1 species
GAAAGACGACGUGCAGUGUCUGAUUUCCUUUAGGGGAGUUGCUGAGUCAGCCCAGGCCAGAAGGGGUGGCAGAGAUCAUCUGCCCCAAGAACGGCAGCGAGCGCGUGAAUGUGGCUUUGGUUUACCCACCUACACCGACUGUGAUCAGCCCUUGUUCCAAGAAGAACGUUGGUGAGAAGCACAGAAACCAGUGACAUUCGUGGCUGUGGAAUUUUCAUGGCAUUAACAGAGCAUGGGACCGACUGGGACAUCUUCUGCCCCUCACGAGCCUGCCAUGCUCCCAAGCGCCUUCUGGGGCCCCAGAGUGAAACCGUGCACCGCAUCGGGGUGCUUGCAGAGGACCCUUGGAGGGGUUGGAGGGGGCUGGGAAGAUGGGGACAAACAUGGAGCAAAUGUUUCACAACCUGAACCUCAGAACUGUGAUCCUCCAAGGAGAGAGCUACUUGAAGAAAAGGGAAAAAAAAAGUUAA